AGAUGCCCAAAAGGUUAUACUAUUUCCAACACUAAAUGAUAGGGAUGUUGAGUUGGACGUGGGUGUUGAAAGCUUGCACUUGUGUAAGAAUCCUAAACACGUCCAUAGACGACCCACCUGAUAACAUCAGGGAAUAUCACUCCUUUUGGGUUUACC
rnacentral:other from 1 species